UGGGGAAUUUUGGACAAUGGGCGCAGGCCUGAUCCAGCAAUGCCGCGUGCAGGAUGAAGGCCUUCGGGUUGUAAACUGCUUUUGUCAGGGAAGAAAUCCUUUGAGCUAAUACCUCGGGGGGAUGACGGCACCUGAAGAAUAAGCACCGGCUAACUACGUGCCAGCAGCCGCGGUAAUACGUAGGGUGCGAGCGUUAAUCGGAAUUACUGGGCGUAAAGCGUGCGCAGGCGGUUAUAUAAGACAGAUGUGAAAUCCCCGGGCUCAACCUGGGACCUGCAUUUGUGACUGUAUAGCUGGAGUACGGUAGAGGGGGAUGGAAUUCCGCGUGUAGCAGUGAAAUGCGUAGAUAUGCGGAGGAACACCGAUGGCGAAGGCAAUCCCCUGGACCUGUACUGACGCUCAUGCACGAAAGCGUGGGGAGCAAAC
rnacentral:rRNA from 1 species